rnacentral:rRNA from 1 species
GAUGAACGCUAGCUACAGGCUUAACACAUGCAAGUCGCGGGGCAGCAUUUUCCUAGCUUGCUAGGGAAGAUGGCGACCGGCGCACGGGUGAGUAACGCGUAUCUAACCUUCCCAUGUCCACGGGAUAGCCCGUCGAAAGGCGGAUUAAUACCGUAUGAGGUCACAUGCGGGCAUCUAAAUGUGACGAAAGGUUUAGCGGACAUGGAUGGGGAUGCGUCCGAUUAGCUAGUUGGCGGGGUAACGGCCCACCAAGGCGACGAUCGGUAGGGGUUCUGAGAGGAAGGUCCCCCACAUUGGAACUGAGACACGGUUCAAACUCCUACGGGAGGCAGCAGUGAGGAAUAUUGGUCAAUGGGCAGAGCCUGAACCAGCCAAGUAGCGUGCAGGACGACGGCCCUAUGGGUUGUAAACUGCUUUUAUAAGGGAAUAAAGUGAGUCUCGUGAGACUUUUUGCAUGUACCUUAUGAAUAAGGACCGGCUAAUUCCGUG